rnacentral:misc_RNA from 1 species
AGACAUGUUUAUUCUGUUGUCUGUUUGCGGGAGUUCCAAAAUAUUUACUAAAUGUUUUCAAAUUUUACCGAUAGUAAUUUUUCGUUAUCAUAAACAAUGCUACUUUUGUUAUAGAAUCCAUUUUUCUGGCAGCCACGGGAAGAAAAGAAAAAUCAUUUCAAUUAUGUUGCGUGACGAAUAUUUCGUUUCGGUCUACUGAACAAAGAUUGUACUUCUGAAAUUUUGCUGUCCAAGUGAAUUGUAUUGCUCUUAAUUCAAAAAUAUUAGUCAUGCUGAGCCAAAUAUCAAAAGUGUUUGCUUUUGGAAGAAAAAUAUUAAUUUUAUAUAGCUGUCGUUUUAGUUCUGUUCCUGUACCAAUUCCUGAACCCAAGAUUUAUCAUACCAAACUUUUCAUUAAUAAUGAGUGGCAUAAAUCACGGUCUGGAAAGGUAUUUCCUACAACUAAUCCAGCAACAGGUGAUGUCAUUACUAAUGUAGAAGAGGCAGAUUUUGAAGAUAUUGACAAAGCAGUGAAAGCUGCACAAUCUGCUUUCAAAUUUGGAUCACCUUGGAGGCGUUUGGAUGCAUCUGAACGAGGAAAAUUAUUGAACAAAUUAGCUGAUAUUAUAGAAAGGGACAGAGUAUAUUUGGCUAGUUUAGAAGCACUUGAUGGGGGGAAACCCUACUCUGAUGCUUAUAAAAUUGAUCUUGAUAUGGCAAUUAAAGUUUAUAGAUAUUUUGCUGGAUUUUGUGAUAAGAUAUAUGGGCAGACACUGGUCAUUGAUGGAGACUAUUUUGCAUACACGAGACAUGAACCUGUUGGUGUUUGUGGACAGAUUAUACCAUGGAAUGUUCCACUUGUGAUGCAGGCUUGGAAACUAGCACCUGCAUUAGCUGCUGGUAAUACAGUGAUCCUGAAGCCAGCUGAACAAACACCACUGUCAGCCCUAUAUGUUGCUGAACUCAUCAAAGAAGCUGGUUUUCCUCCAGGCGUAGUAAAUGUCAUACCUGGCUUUGGUCCGUCUGCCGGAUAUGCUCUUGCUACUCACCAUGGAGUUGAUAAAAUUGGGUUCACUGGCUCCACUCAUACUGGCCAGCUUAUAAUGGAAGCAGCAGCUAAAUCCAAUCUGAAACAUGUUACUCUAGAACUUGGUGGUAAAAGUCCUAGUAUAGUAUUCAAAGAUGCAGACUUGGACAAUGCUCUUCAAUUCACUCACCUUGGUGUGUUUUUCAACCAAGGUCAGGUUUGUUGUGCUGGUUCUAGGAUCUUUGUUGAAGAAACCAUUUAUGAUGAAUUUAUAGAAAAGAGUGUUGAGAUGGCUAAAAAGAGAAUUGUUGGAAAUCCUUUUGAUCCCCAAACACAGCAAGGACCACAAGUAGAUGCUGGGCAAAUGAAUAAGGUACUUAAUCUGAUCAAAAAUGGUGAAAAAGAAGGUGCAAAUAUGCUAUGUGGUGGUAAUCGUAUUGGGGACAAGGGCUACUUUAUCAGUCCAACAGUUUUUGCUAAUGUUCAAGACAAUAUGAAAAUUGCAAAAGAAGAAAUAUUUGGCCCUGUAAUGCAAAUUCUGAAAUUCAAAACAGUUGAAGAAUUAUUGGAAAGAGCAAAUAACACGAUGUAUGGUUUAGCUGCUGGAGUAUUUACUAAGGAUAUAGAUAAAGCAAUGUAUUUUUCAAGUGGUCUUCAAGCUGGAUAAAUUGCUAUAACAUUUUUUCUGAACAAGCUCCAUUUGGUGGAUUUAAAAUGUCUGGCAUUGGAAGAGAAAUGGGAGAAUAUGGCCUUCAAGCAUACAGUGAAAUUAAAACAGUCACCUUAAAAGUACCACAUAAAAAC